GAUGAACGCUGGCGGCGUGCCUAAUACAUGCAAGUCGAGCGAACGGACGAGAAGCUUGCUUCUCUGAUGUUAGCGGCGGACGGGUGAGUAACACGUGGAUAACCUACCUAUAAGACUGGGAUAACUUCGGGAAACCGGAGCUAAUACCGGAUAAUAUUUUGAACCGCAUGGUUCAAAAGUGAAAGGCGGUCUUGCCGUCACUUAUAGAUGGAUCCGCGCUGCAUUAGCUAGUUGGUAAGGUAACGGCUUACCAAGGCAACGAUGCAUAGCCGACCUGAGAGGGUGAUCGGCCACACUGGAACUGAGACACGGUCCAGACUCCUACGGGAGGCAGCAGUAGGGAAUCUUCCGCAAUGGGCGAAAGCCUGACGGAGCAACGCCGCGUGAGUGAUGAAGGUCUUCGGAUCGUAAAACUCUGUUAUUAGGGAAGAACAUAUGUGUAAGUAACUGUGCACAUCUUGACGGUACCUAAUCAGAAAGCCACGGCUAACUACGUG
rnacentral:rRNA from 1 species